rnacentral:rRNA from 1 species
GAUGAACGCUGGCGGCGUGCCUAACACAUGCAAGUCGAGCGAACAGCAGAGGGGCUUGCUCCUUUCACGUUACGGGCGGAGGGGUGAGUAACACGAGUAUAACCUCCCUUUAUUACUGGGAUAUCUUGGGGAAACAGGAGCUCAUAUCGGAUAAUCUAUUGACCCGCGUGGGUAAUUGGUGAACGACGGUUUUGCUGUCUCAUAUAGCUGGUUCUGAGCUGCUUUAGCUAGUUGGUAAGGUAACGGCUUACCAAGGCAAGGAUGCGUAGCCGGCCUGAGAGGGUGAUCGGCCACCCUGGAACUGAGACACGGUCCAGACUCCUACGGGAGGCAGCAGUAGGGAAUCUUCCGCAAUGGGCGAAAGCCUGACGGAGCAACGCCGCGUGAGUGAUGAAGGUCUUCGGAUCGUAAAGCUCUGUUAUUAGGGAAGAACAAAUGUGUAAGUAACUAUGCACGUCUUGACGGUACCUAAUCAGAAAGCCUCGGCUAACUACGUG